AAGAAUUUUUUCCUUUUUAUUUGAUAAUAAAAAUUAUUACUCUUGAUAUCAGAUAUAGAAUUUGCAAUGUGUUGGAAUUUGAUGUAACAGUAAUGGUUUUGUGAUGUGAUGACAGUAUAAUGUAUAUCAUCUUAACCACUAUGUUAAAUAAAUAUAUCAAUUUACAGGUAAAAAGUAGGGGCAUUACUUGUUCAACAUGAAGCCACUAUUUUAAACUGGAUUCAAAUACCACCAUUAUGCUUGGUCCUAGAGGUUAUGCAUGUUUUAUGGCUUGGAUACGGUCCAUGUACAUUAUAAACAGCUUUAUUAAUAUCAUAGUUUUCACUUUCAAAACUUUUUGGAUCCCAACAAAUGAAGCUGGUUUG
rnacentral:misc_RNA from 1 species